AGCUUUGCGCAGUGGCAGUAUCGUAGCCAAUGAGGUUUAUCCGAGGCGCGAUUAUUGCUAAUUGAAAGACAUGAAACUCUUAACUAUACCCAGCAAAAUUAAUGGUACAUGGCACCACCUCUUGAAAUUUUAGGAUAAUUUUAGAAU